AAUCCUAGGGAAUCAUUCUGUCUUCUGUGUGGAUCACGCUAGUCGAGAAAACAGACAGAUACAUACGAUACCAAAGAUAAAUGGGUGCUAAACCAGGGAAGGAGCUGAACUUCGAUGUGAAAGUUAAUGGUUCACACAAACAGGGAGGAACGCACAUCGACAACCAAGGCAAUAUUGGUAACAUUACCACUGGUGACAACAACUCCGGCAAUAAUACUGCCUCAGUCGGGGGGCAGCCUGGGAAGAGUCCAAAGCAAUAGACAGUUUUUGUAGAUUCUGGCUCCAACUUGGUGUUAAGGUCAAGCACAGUCACGCCCUCAAAGACGAUAAUGGCAUCAAGUGCAAGCGUACAUAGAGUCUACAUAUGGUUGCCAAGAUGGAAUUUUCAGGUAGGUGGCCAUGUGUCUCUGCUUCUCAACGAUGGGACAUACAUAAGCUGGUGGCCACAUGAUGGGGUAGACUUUAAAACAGAUAUGUUUAAUAGUCCGCAUGGUGUCAAGGCAUCACAUGGUACAUGUGUAGAAAAUGACAUAGAAUCCAUGAAGUACAGUUAUCAUUAUGUAUUUGAUAUUCCCCCGGAACGGUUGGAUCUGCAGAAAAUGAAAGAUUUCUGGGAAUCUGUCCUUACAACUCGUAACUUUGACCCAAAGAAGGAGAACUGCUGCUGGGUUGUGUACAACGUACUACUUGCUGGAGGCGCUCCUCCAGCAUCAGUGUGGUCACCAUGGCGACCAGGGAUGAUACGACGAUACAUGGUCAACUUUGUGAGUGGCGGUUCUGCGCUCUUUCGACUUAUUGGGAACUUCCUUCCUUUCUAAGGCGAUGUUAAGUUCAUUAUUGAGAUAGAUUCUUCUGUGUUGACUCUGACUCUUCUUAAUAUGAAAACCUGCUCUGGAUCUGUGUCGAGUUACGUUGUUUUUUAGUUAACAAACAUGAAGUAAUGAUGUAUUGUAGCAUGUCUAAAAGUAUGUUACCUAGUAUGGUGACCUACCUUUGGUUAUUGGUGAUCUAUAGCCCAUUUUUUAUUGUGUACUGUUC